rnacentral:rRNA from 1 species
ACAAUGCGGAACUUUUAGUUUUGCAAUUGGAUUGAGAACAAUGUACAAAUGUUAUCGAUAAACAAUUGGAGGGCAAGUCUGGUGCCAGCAGCCGCGGUAAUUCCAGCUCCAAUAGCGUAUAUUAACGUUGUUGCAGUUAAAAAGCUCGUAGUUGAAAUGUGGGAUGAAGUAUAUGAUGAAUUUAAUAUUCAAUUAUAUAUUGAUUCCCCUCUCCAAUUUAUUAUUAUGGGUAUUAAUUUAUUUGUAAUAAGAAUUGGUCAUUUACUGUGAGAAAAUUAGAGUGUUCAAAGCAGGCAUUUGCUUGAAUAGAUUAGCAUGGAAUAAUAAUAAAAGGCUUUUAUGGUCGAUUUAAUUGGUUUGUUCAUAAAAGCAAGAUUAAAAGGAACAGUUGGGGGUAUUCAUAUUCAAUAGUUAGAGGUGAAAUUCUCGGAUUUAUGGAAGAUGAACAAGUGCGAAAGCA